GAUGAAGAACGUAGCGAAAUGCGAUACGUAAUGUGAAUUGCAGAAUUCAGUGAAUCAUCGAAUCUUUGAACGCACAUUGCGCCUGCCAGCACUCUGGCAGGCAUGCCUGUUCGAGCGUCAUUUCAACCAUCAAGCCCUAGGCUUGCGUUGGAGCCCUGCGGCUGCCGCAGGCCCCUAAAAGCAGUGGCGGGCUCGCUAUCACACCGAGUGCAGUAGAUUACUCUUCGCUCAGGGCGUGUGGCGGGUUCCAGCCGUGAAACCCCCUACUUCUCAAGAUUGACCUCGGAUCAGGUAGGAAUACCCGCUGAACUUAAGCAUAUCAAUAAGCGGAGGA
rnacentral:misc_RNA from 1 species